ACUCUAGAGGUUUAGGAGGGGCCUUAAAUCUCUCUGACCCCCUCAGUGUGCCCCAGAGUCCCGAGGGCUCUGACUGCGUGUGGCCGGGAGCCUCUAACGGGAGACACAGAAAGGUGGGUGCAGAGGCACUUUCUCCCGGCUUACCAGAUUCGGGGGUCCCGUUCACCGCUGGCUUCUCCGCUCUAUUCCUAGGGCCUGGGAAAGACAGGGGAUGUGGGACAGAGGAGGUUCUGGGAACCGUACCUGCGGCUCCGGCCCUUCCGGCUUCGAGUGACCAGGAGAUAGGCAACGCCACAUACAAGCAGUGACCCGAUAGCGAGACUCCCAACGCUGAUGGCUGCCGUGAUCCCAGCAUUGACGGAGAGGGCCGGCGCUGUGGAAGGAGAGAACCUAGUCCCACAAGCUGUCGUCUUCUGACCUUCAUAUACGGGCUGUGGCACGAUGGCACAGACCUUUAACUCGAGGCUCAGGAGGCAGAGGCAGGUGGAUGUCUGUGAGUUCUAGGCCAGCCUGGUCUAUGGAGUGAGUUCUGGGCAAGCCAGGGCUGUCUCAAACAAACAAACAAAACAAAAACAACAACAAAACCACCACUAACAAACCCUAACCAGUUCUUUAAGCCACAGACUUUCAAGUACUCGCUGGUCACAUUCAUUUAAUGGCAAUCACAUUAGACAACGCAAAUGUAAAUUUUCCAGGCUUGUUCCAGAAGGUUCUACGGAAAAGAGAGCAUCUCCUGACCAGAGGAGGCUGGUGCCAGGCAGUUCUGCUCUAGGGACGUUUCUGGCCCAGCAGGGAAGGCGCACCCUCAGCAGCGGGACAGCCAGUCAUGUCAUGAGGUGGC